UCUGCUAUGACAGGGCAGCACUGAGUUCAAUGCCUCACUUCAAUUGCUGUGCUUUCCCUCUCCCAAGUAGUCAGAUUCUCUCUCCACACCCCUCAGCCACUGCUAGGGGAUGGGGAGGUGGUGUCAGUGAGUCAAGACUGUUUUUCCUACCUCUUCAGUGCCUCUUUCAGUGAUAUGAAGUUAAAACCAGUUUCGUCAGUUUUUACUUCAUAUAUUUUGCUUCAGGAAUUUCUAUGAACGUAUCUUCAAGCUCAUUGGUUCUUUACCCAAUCAUGUCCAGUCUACUGAUGAGUGAAUCAAAGGGAUUCUUCAUUCCUGUUGCAGUAUUUCUGAUAUCCAGCAUUUCCUUUUUAUUUUCCUAGGGUUUUCAUGUCUCUGCUUACAUUACCAUGUGUUGUCCUUAUAUGUGGUGCACUCUAUCCAUUAGUGCCCACAGCAUAUUAAUCAUGGGUUUUUAAAUUCUUGGUUUGACCCAUUAAAAAAUUGGCAAAGGACAUGAACAGAUACUUCUGAAAAGAAGACAUACAUGUGGACAACAAGCAUAUGAAAAAAAUGCUUAACAUCACUGAUGAUUAGAGAAAUGGAAAUCAAAACCACAAUGAGAUACCAUCUCACACCAGUCAGAAUGGCUAUUAUUAAGUAGUUAAAAACAACAACAACAACAGAUGCUGGCAAGGUUGUGGAGAAAAGGGAACGCUUAUACACUGUUGGUGGGAGUGUAAAUUAGUACAACCAUUGUGGAAGACAGUGUGGCAAUUCCUCAAAGAUCUAAAAACAGAAAUACCGUUUGACCCAGCAAACUCAUUACUGGGUAUAUACCCAAAGGAAUGUAAGUCGUUCUACCAUAAAGACUCAUGCACAUGUAUGUUCAUUGCAGCACAAUUCACAAUAGCAAAGACAUGGAAUCAACCUAAAUGCUCAUCAAUAGUGGACUGGAUAAAGAAAACGUGGUACAUAUACACCAUGAAAUACUAUGCAGCCAUAAAAAAGAAUGAAAUCCUGUCCUUUGCAGGAACAGGGAUGGGAACUGGAGGCAAUCAUCCUAAGUGAAUUAAUGCAAGAGCAGAAAACCAAUGCUACAUAUUCUCACUUAUCAGUGGGAGCUAAACAUUGAACACACAUGUACAUAAAGAAGGGGACAAGAGACACUGGGGCCUACUUGAGGGUGGAAGUUUGGAGAAGAGUGAGGAUUGAAAAAUGAUGUAUUACAUACUGUGCUUAUUACCUGGGUGACAAAAUAAUCUGUACACCAAAAACCUGCAAUACUAAAUUUACCCAUGUAACAAACCUGCUCAUGUAUCCACUGAACCUAAAAUAAAAGUUGGAAAAAAAAUUUCAAUCAAAAAUAAAAUUGUUUGAUAAUUUCGACAUAUCUGA